rnacentral:lncRNA from 1 species
AAAUAGACCACACAUAAAUGUAGUAUCAAGGCCGGACCCAGAACAAUGGGUAAGUUCUUAGCAAAUUAUUGAGCGCCCAUCUUUAGUAUUCCUAGCAAAGAGUGUAGAGCUAAAAACAAGCAAACAACACCUAAAACCAAACAAGAAAAAUUUAGGGUACCCAUAGAAAAAUAACACUUAAAAACCAAACCUCAAAAAAUCAACCACAAAAUAGAAAAAAUUAAAAAAUGGAAGGGUUACGCUUUUGACUAUGAAGAAUCUAAAAAGUUAGUGUUUACUUUAAAAGAACCACCCAGCAAUUCAUGUUUAGUGAGGAACAGUUCCAUAAGGAUCUCCACUGAAACUACAGCCAGAAGCAGUAACUUUGAGGUCAAAGGUUACUUCCCAGAUAAAGACUGCAUCAUUGUUGAUCCCAGUGGCAACAUUGUAGCUCAAGUAUACAAUCAACUCCAUGAUCUAAAAGCUGUAGACAUUGCUUUAUUUUUAUUCGUUUAAAAAGAAAGCAAAAGUAUGAUAAAGCUGCAGUGUUCGUUUUGCUUUUGAUCACUUAGUGAUGAUUCCGUUUAAAUAUGCAGAUUGGAGUGAAAAAAGAAAUAGAAGACUUGAUGGAAAGCAAGGAUCUGUAUCACAUAGUGGUGAAACCGGGGAUAGAUCAUGCCUUUAUUGUUGGAGUCAUUGCCACCCUCGACUACAUUUAUGGCGAAUCUACUAGGUGCUGAUCAAUAAGAAUUUUUACCAACUAAUGCCAUUGAAACUACGUAAAAUCAUGGGAAAAUUGCAUCCCCUUCUAAAUAUCUUUCUUCAAUUUCAUGCUUGAAUUAUAGUAUAUCAAUCAUAUCAGGAUUGAGGGUUUUCUUGCCAAUUUCAUGCUUCCAAGCCAUUAAUCAUCUCUUCAACAUCAAUUUUUCAUCAUCUAAAUAUCUUUUUUCACUCUAAAUUACCAAACUUCUAAUUGUUUCAAAUCUCUAAUUAUUUCACACAAAAUUUACAGUGCAUUACAAAAACCACAAAGGUCAAAAUUACCUCCUCACCUUGCCGUUAACUCACAAAAAGAAAAGGAAAGAGAGGAAACUGUGUUCAUCUUCAACACCUCAGGAUGACAGCGACCACUUCAUGGAUUCCACUUGUUAUUUGCUUUGAACGAGAUGGUGCCUUCGAUCUUGCGUGAUUACUAAACAAAUAAAAGAGAGAAAUUAGAGAGAAAUUUGUGAUUUCAAAGAGAGGUGUGACAGAUUGG